rnacentral:rRNA from 1 species
UGGGGAAUUUUGGACAAUGGGCGAAAGCCUGAUCCAGCAAUGCCGCGUGUGUGAAGAAGGCCUUCGGGUUGUAAAGCACUUUUGUCCGGAAAGAAAUCCUUGGCUCUAAUACAGUCGGGGGAUGACGGUACCGGAAGAAUAAGCACCGGCUAACUACGUGCCAGCAGCCGCGGUAAUACGUAGGGUGCAAGCGUUAAUCGGAAUUACUGGGCGUAAAGCGUGCGCAGGCUGGUUUGCUAAGACCGAUGUGAAAUCCCCGGGCUCAACCUGGGAACUGCAUUGGUGACUGGCAGGCUAGAGUAUGGCAGAGGGGGGUAGAAUUCCACGUGUAGCAGUGAAAUGCGUAGAGAUGUGGAGGAAUACCGAUGGCGAAGGCAGCCCCCUGGGCCAAUACUGACGCUCAUGCACGAAAGCGUGGGGAGCAAACAGGAUUAGAUACCCUGGUAGUCCACGCCCUAAACGAUGUCAACUAGUUGUUGGGGAUUCAUUUCCUUAGUAACGUAGCUAACGCGUGAAGUUGACCGCCUGGGGAGUACGGUCGCAAGAUUAAAACUCAAAGGAAUUGACGGGGUCAUAGCUGUUUCCU